rnacentral:rRNA from 1 species
GACGUAGGGCGCGAGCGUUGUCCGGAUUUAUUGGGCGUAAAGAGCUCGUAGGCGGCUUGUUGCGUCAGCUGUGAAAACCCGCAGCUCAACUGUGGGCUUGCAGCUGAUACGGGCAGGCUUGAGUUCGGUAGGGGAGACUGGAAUUCCUGGUGUAGCGGUGAAAUGCGCAGAUAUCAGGAGGAACACCGGUGGCGAAGGCGGCAUCCUGGACCAACACUGACGCUGAGUGAGCGAAAGCCAGGGGAGCGAACGGG